rnacentral:lncRNA from 1 species
UUUGAACUUAAUUUAGGAAAAAAAGUGAAGAAUAUAGGGAAGAGGCUCAACUUCUGCCAAUGCUCAACGUCACUUCGUCAUACAACACAACCUUAUUACUUAUUACAUCACACAUCCUGCGAGAGUUGCGUCAUGUUUUUUUCAGCACUGUUUUUCGCACACACACAAAAUUAUAAUGUAUUUAGUACCUAAUAUGUAACACCACCCUUGGGGAAACCCCUCCUUGUGGCAUGCCUCAACACAUUGACGCGGCUUGCAUAAAGGGGUGGUAUAGCUCACGCUGUAUACUCUGCAUAUCUUGGUAUGUGAGCCUACAAAACAACACGAAAAUAUGGUAUUUAAAAAAUUAGAUCCAACGAUGUUCUAUCGAGAAACAACAUACAAAUAUGGGCAUGGAGUAUGAAUUUCACUUAUUUCUUUCAAAUAAAAAAAAUGCAUUAAGGAAGUGUCUUUUUCUUCAUGUAAUUUUUUGAGGAAACGCUUACCAGGAACUAAAAGAACUGGAAUGUGUAGUAGAAGGAACAACAGAGUUGACACCUUGACACGUCCCAUGUCUUCAAGAAUAAACAGUCACAAAGGAAAGUUAGCAAAAUAAGAAAGAGGUACAACAGAAUAGGCUACGCCAUAAUAUAUAGCGUGGAAAGAUGAG